rnacentral:tRNA from 1 species
UAAGGCUCAGCGGUAGAGCGCUCGCUUUGCAUGCGAGAGGGCUCGGGUUCGAACCCCGAUA